UCAUAUGCUUGUCUCAAAGAUUAAGCCAUGCAUGUCUAAGUAUAAGCAAUUAUACCGUGAAACUGCGAAUGGCUCAUUAAAUCAGUUAUCGUUUAUUUGAUAGUACCUUACUACUUGGAUAACCGUGGUAAUUCUAGAGCUAAUACAUGCUGAAAACCCCAACUUCGGGAGGGGUGUAUUUAUUAGAUAAAAAACCAACGCCCUUCGGGGCUUCUUGGUGAUUCAUGAUAACUUCACGGAUCGCAUGGCCUUGCGCCGGCGACGGUUCAUUCAAAUUUCUGCCCUAUCAACUUUCGAUGGUAAGGUAUUGGCUUACCAUGGUUUCAACGGGUAACGGGGAAUUAGGGUUCGAUUCCGGAGAGGGAGCCUGAGAAACGGCUACCACAUCCAAGGAAGGCAGCAGGCGCGCAAAUUACCCAAUCCCGACACGGGGAGGUAGUGACAAUAAAUACUGAUACAGGGCUCUUUUGGGUCUUGUAAUUGGAAUGAGUACAAUUUAAACCUCUUAACGAGGAACAAUUGGAGGGCAAGUCUGGUGCCAGCAGCCGCGGUAAUUCCAGCUCCAAUAGCGUAUAUUAAAGUUGUUGCAGUUAAAAAGCUCGUAGUUGAAACUUGGGCCUGGCUGGCAGGUCCGCCUCACCGCGUGUACUUGUCCGGCCGGGCCUUUCCUUCUGGAGAACCUCAUGCCCUUCACUGGGUGUGUUGGGGAACCAGGACUUUUACUUUGAAAAAAUUAGAGUGUUCAAAGCAGGCCUUUGCUCGAAUACGUUAGCAUGGAAUAAUAGAAUAGGACGUGCGGUCCUAUUUUGUUGGUUUCUAGGACCGCCGUAAUGAUUAAUAGGGACAGUCGGGGGCAUCAGUAUUCAAUUGUCAGAGGUGAAAUUCUUGGAUUUAUUGAAGACUAACUACUGCGAAAGCAUUUGCCAAGGAUGUUUUCAUUAAUCAGUGAACGAAAGUUAGGGGAUCGAAGACGAUCAGAUACCGUCGUAGUCUUAACCGUAAACUAUGCCGACUAGGGAUCGGGCGAUGUUCUUUUUCUGACUCGCUCGGCACCUUACGAGAAAUCAAAGUUU
rnacentral:rRNA from 1 species